UAGGGAAUCUUCCGCAACGGGCGAAAGCCUGACGGAGCAACGCCGCGUGAGUGAUGAAGGUCUUCGGAUCGUAAAACUCUGUUAUUAGGGAAGAACAAAUGUGUAAGUAACUAUGCACGUCUUGACGGUACCUAAUCAGAAAGCCACGGCUAACUACGUGCCAGCAGCCGCGGUAAUACGUAGGUGGCAAGCGUUAUCCGGAAUUAUUGGGCGUAAAGCGCGCGUAGGCGGUUUUUUAAGUCUGAUGUGAAAGCCCACGGCUCAACCGUGGAGGGUCAUUGGAAACUGGAAAACUUGAGUGCAGAAGAGGAAAGUGGAAUUCCAUGUGUAGCGGUGAAAUGCGCAGAGAUAUGGAGGAACACCAGUGGCGAAGGCGACUUUCUGGUCUGUAACUGACGCUGAUGUGCGAAAGCGUGGGGAUCAAACAGG
rnacentral:rRNA from 1 species